AAUUUUCUACCGAUUUUCAAACGGUUUGGGUUUUUACAAACUUUAUUAACGUGGCUAUAAUUCUGGAUGCUUUAACAUGUUUCAUGAAGUUAUUUUUUAUUUGUAGUAUAGGUAUGCAGUGUCAUAGGUACAUCCUUGACGUUUAUAACAAACCAAACCGUUUGAAAAUCGGUAAAAAAUUAAGCAAGUUAUGGUCAUUUAAAAGUACCUGCAUCAUUAAAACUCAAUGCUACGAGUGAGCGAGCGCCCUGUCGUAAGAUGGCCGCCAAAAUGCGGACGUUGCACUCAAUUGGCCAGCAGCGCGGACGAGCCAUCUAGCCUUUAUAUACAUAUCUAUGAUAUAAACAACAAACGCGAUGUGCCGGGAGCUCUGUGUGAUAUCAACACAGUGUGCUGUCAGUUGAAAGAUGGAAGUCCCCAGACUGAAGAAACGACCUUGGCGCUUCUGUGAACAUUGCAACACUGAACUGUGUCAUACACCACAGAAAGCGCUAUUUCAAAAAUGGAGUAUGGGAGAAAAAAUCCAAAAGGACUACGUCAGGUCAGAUAACGUACAGAGCCUGCUGCUAUCCAGUCAUGAACCCGCUGUGAGUGAUGUCCUGUCAUGUGUAAAGACCCGGAGGAUAACUUUACUGGAGUUAGAGAGAUUGGUGAAAGUGAAAUGCAAUCCGAGGACCCAGAAAAAAAGUGAUUGAAGAAUUUGAAGAAAUGCACCCAGCGAAUUGCAGUUAAGACAACGACGAAACAGCAGAUGACCAAAGCAUUCAUCUUUUCCUGGACGUCUCCUGUUGUGUGGAUGACUAUGUGGAUGAAGAGGGGGAAAUCCUUGCUGAGGAGCAGAGUGAAGCCUAUCCUCACAUACAAGAUGGGAAGGAGCAUGGAAGUGAUCAGUCCAGAAGUGAAAAAACAGAACACUUGUUGAUGAAACUUUUGGCCAUGAUGAAAUUGACUGGUAUCCUCCGUGACGACUUCUUACAGUAUGUGGUUUGUCCAAAAUGUAUGACAGUGUACAUGCUUACUGAAACCUAUGAGCGCAGACGGGAUGGUACAAAGGUUUGCAGGACUUGUGGUCACAUCCCGUUCUACAAUCACCCACAGCAGAGGUCUGCAUUAAGGAAGAAAUAUGGCUCUGCCUUGCUAAGAUAGGCUACAUAUUCGAGCGGUGAAGAGUAUGUCCAUCCAAUACGUUCUUACUGUUACAAGAGUGUUGUGCAGUCUCUGGGAGGACUUGUUAAAAGACUUGGAUUUGAAGAGAAAUUAGAUGAAAGGCGAAAGCGGGAACUGCCAAAGGGUGUGUUAGAUGUAAAUGAUGGACAAGUAUGGCAGGAUUACCAGUAUGUGAAUUCAAUAAACUGUAGUCAUGCCACUAUGCACAGUAUUUGAGCUGUGAUGUAAUUGCACAAGUUACCUUGCUUCAUUCCCAUCCGGACAGACAUUUUGUUGUUUGACAUGUUGUUUGAUGGUGUUUGCAUAGAAUGCACAAAUUGAGCCUGAUUAAAACUCUGUUAAAACAAUUAAAAUUGUUGAAAUAAAUA